AUACGUAGGGAGCGAGCGUUGUCCGGAAUUACUGGGCGUAAAGGGCGCGAAGGCUGCGAUUCAAGUCAACAGUCAAAUUCCGGGGCUUAACCCCGGCCUGCAGUUGAAACUGAAUUGCUCGAGGCGCAGAGAGGCAGACAGAAUUCCUGGUGUAGCGGUGAAAUGCGUAGAUAUCAGGAAGAAUACCAGUGGCGAAGGCGGUCUGCUGGCUGCGAACUGACGCUCAAGCGCGAAAGCCAGGGGAGCAAACGGGAUUAGAUACCCCGGUAGUCCUGGCAGUAAACGAUGUAUGCUGGGUGUGAGAUCAGCGAUGAUUUCGUGCCGAAGUUAACGCGAUAAGCAUACCGCCUGGGGAGUACGGUCGCAAGAUUGAAACUCAAAUGAAUUGGCGGGG
rnacentral:rRNA from 1 species